rnacentral:rRNA from 1 species
GAUGAACGCUGGCGGCGUGCCUAACACAUGCAAGUCGAGCGAACAGACGAGGAUCUUGCUGCUCUGACGUUAGCGGCGGACGGGUGAGUAACACGUGGAUAACCUAUCUAUAAUACUGGGAUAACCUCGGGAAACCGGAGAUAAUACCGGAUAAUAUAUUGCACCGCAUGGUUCGAUAGUGAAAGACGGUUUUGCUGGCACUUAUAGAUGCUUCCGCGCCGCAUUUGCUAGUUGGUAAGGAAACGGCUUACCACGGCAACGAUGCGUAGCCGACCUGAGAGGGUGAUCGGCCACACUGGAGCUGAGACAGGGACCAGACUCCUACGGGAGGCAGCAGUAGGGAAUCUUCCGCAAUGGGCGAAAGCCUGACGGAGCAACGCCGCGCGAGGGAUGAAGGUGUUCGGAUCGGAAAGCUCUGUUAUUAGGGAAGAACAAAUGUGUAAGUAACUAUGCACGUCUUGACGGUACCGAAUAAGAAAGCCACGGCUAACUACGUG